UACGAAGGUGGCAAGCGUUGUUCGGAUUUACUGGGCGUACAGGGAGCGUAGGCGGUUGGGUAAGCCCUCCGUGAAAUCUCCGGGCCCAACCCGGAAAGUGCGGAGGGGACUGCUCGGCUAGAGGAUGGGAGAGGAGCGCGGAAUUCCCGGUGUAGAGGUGAAAUUCGUAGAUAUUGGGAAGAACACCGAUGGCGAAGGCAGCCAUCUGGACCGGCAUUGACGCUGAGGCGCGAAAGCGUGGGGAGCAAACAGG
rnacentral:rRNA from 1 species